CAAAGUGCUGAGCCUUGAACCAGUCUGCCCUGCUGGGUCUCACUUGGAGUUAACCCCACAAAGCGCUGUUCUGAUGACACUGUGCAGGGAAAACAUCAGUGUAAGAUUACAGAAUGGAGUUUUAGGCUUCCAGCUUGGAGAGGAAGAGACUGCCCAGAUGAGGAGCCAGUCAGAGAAGCACAAGGUUGAAAUUGAAUUGGGCUGACAGCAGAAGGAAGAACAAUUGUUAUAGAAUUCUGCAUUUCCACAACCUUAGUCAGCACAUUGACUGAGAAAUUGCAGUGGUCAAGGUCUAGGAGCAGCAGCCAAAUAUGCAGAAGGAUGGUUAUGUUUUUAAAAUGCUAGGAUCUUCAAGUCCAAGAGUCGGCAUCAAGGACUUUCCUGACUUUCCUGUAUACUCAUCAUUCGGUGCCUCCACCUGAGAUAAACAAGCUGAGCAGUCACUGGUUAUCUGCAUGACAUCUGCAUUGUGUUGCAAGAACAGAGCCACAUCAGCGGAGAUCCAUUAAAAACCAACAACCUGCGGGGAGAGGACAAGCUACCUGAAGGAUAUUUCUGUUUCACUGUGUCAUUCUACUGCAGUUGUGAUUUCUAAGUAACUUCAUUAAAGGCAAUGCGUUAAAGCAUACUUGGUUUCUAUUUCAAAGAUCAUUAAAAAAAAA